UACGUAGGGCGCGAGCGUUGUCCGGAUUUAUUGGGCGUAAAGAGCUCGUAGGCGGCUUGUCGCGUCGACUGUGAAAACCUGCAGCUUAACUGUGGGCGUGCGGUCGAUACGGGCAUCACUGGAGUUCGGCAGGGGAGACUGGAAUUCCUGGUGUAGCGGUGAAAUGCGCAGAUAUCUGGAGGAACACCGGUGGCGAAAGCGGCGCGCUGGACCUCUUCUGACGCUGAGGCGCGAAAGCCAGGGGAGCGAACGGG
rnacentral:rRNA from 1 species